rfam:Ovis aries breed Texel chromosome 2, whole genome shotgun sequence.
UCCCUGGUGGCUCAGACAGUAAAGAAUCUGCCUGCAAUGCAGGAGACCUGGGUUCGAACCCUGGGUUGGGAA